GACACCUACGUGGUCCGCUUCUGUUUUAUUUGACGACUUUUUUUACCAAAUGUUUUUCUUACUAUGACUAGAUUUUAAUCCACGGAAUACCGCGGGACGAUUUAUUUUUCAAAAGUAAUAUAUAUUAAAACUUGCAAAUCUUAU
rnacentral:sRNA from 1 species